ACCGCCGCCGCGAGAAUAAUCCCGUCCUUGCCCACGUUCCUCGGCCCACGGCGGCAUUCGCGACACCUCUGUGGAGACGGGCUCGACCCGGUGGCUGCCAAAGUUUUUUUUACCUCUAAAUAUACUGUUGGGAAGGGGAGAGAGAGACUGCACGGAGUGAAUUUAAGCCCCCUGACGCAGUGCCUGGCUGGUUUCGCUGGAACUUCAUUAAAGGAAAUUGAGCGAUUCUUACCGCCCGAUGCCUGACAACAUCACCGAGCAGGGAGCACAGGCUGCACAGCACCAUUUUUGUGUAGAUUUAUGCAGUUUCUGACAGAGCAGGCUCCCAGUCUUUCUUUCAAGUUCAAGGUGAACAAAAGAGACCUCUUCUUGCCAAGUGUCUUUCCAGUUCACAUUUCAGAAAACCUGUGAUUACAUGUCCUGUUGAAGGCCACUGUUGGACAAGACAGCUACUUCCGUCAUUGAACAGACUCACGUUUGAACAGGUUGAAGAACUCUAGUGGAGGAAGCUGUUUUUCUGACACCUUCCUAGUCAAACCAUUAGUUUCACAAGCAGGCAUAAAUUAGUGCUGCUUGUACCUUUCAGAGUAUUCAGAAAGAAAAUGGGAAUGAAGAGACACUGGUCAUUCAAAUACAUGUCUAGGUAAAAAUAAUGUAAUGUAAUAGUACAAAAUCUUUCACUCUGACCUCAUGUGUAAUGUCUGCUAAUUUAUAGGAUUGUGAGGGUUUACUGUUCUUGAGGGUCUUGUACUAAAAACAUGCUUUAUGUUGCCAUGUCAAUCAACAAACUCUAAAUACUUAGUGGAUUCUCAGUCUAAACUUCUGAACUAUCUCAUAGCUAUUUGAUUGCAUUUCCCAUCUGGGAAGACACAACAAAGUAGUCCAGUUAUUUGAGAAAAAAACUUUGCUGUUUACUGUUUCAGCUGUUAAAGGAGCCAGCUGUGUGCCUCACAGCACAUUAGAUGGCUUUGUUACUGGAUUUCCUGUUGGUUUCCAAAACUAGGUCAGCUUAGAUGCAUCUGAAACUUGAAGAGUAGAAGGCUUGAGGGAGAGUAUCGGUGGUAGCAGAAAAAGAGAGAUACAGGUCAAGACCUCUCUUACUUCUGCUGCUACUUCACUGAUGCUGCUUCCUAGGUUUAAGAACAUGCAUUUCUUUCCUUCCCCAGUUGAAAGAGUGGAGAGCUUUCUGGUCCUUUAUAGCAGGACUAGAGAAAAAUCAGACAUUGGGAUCCAGGAUUCUGAAUCAAGGGCAAUGGCUUUAGCAGGAUGAUUUAAGGAUCAGUCCUUGAACUGGGAAAGAUAGGUAAUAAAGAAGCCAGGCCUCUAAGAUGUCUGGUAAUGGUGACCCUCUUCAGUGAAGCAGUGAAGUUGUUUGGAAAGCCUCUUACCAGUAAUUGCAGCUUUUUUGUUGACUGCACAAAAGAACUGGUUUGUUCUGUCUGUCCUCUUGAGUCUUUACUGGUACUUAGCAGUUGGUCUGAUAAUAUUUGCUUUUAAGUAGCCAUUCUGUAGUUAAGGGCAAUAUUGCUUGCAAUAUCUAGAUAUUGGGAAGAGGGAAGAAAAUAAAGUUUUAUUGUGUUUGCGGACAAGUGCAUUGUGACCCUGUGAUAUAAACUCAGGAGCACAGCCUGGCCCUUCAGGGUAGGAAGACAGUGCUGAGGUAUGAAGUAUAUGGAUUUCUCUCUCUUCCUGUAAACACAGAGAUGAAAGAUCUGAAACCAAACUGGGUGAUUUGGUCCCUGCUGCCUACUUUCCUAUGUGUAGUUAGGAAAGUAGGCAGUAGGGACCAAAUCACCUUUUUGUAGUUAGUUGCCUACUUUGUCAACAGCAUGACAUACAGAAAAGUACUGUUCUAUAUGUCUAUAUAAUUUAUUGUUCUAACUAAUUGUCAUAGUCACUUGCAAAAAAGCCUGAAAACACACCCCCCCCCUCCCCCAGAAUGGCAGUGUUCUGCAGCUAAAGUUCCACCAAGGUUUAAUUUGAGUGCAGUUCUGUAGUGACAGAAUGGCUGAUGACAGCAUAAGAAUGAACUGCUAAAUUCUUAUAUAAGCCUGCAAUGCUAUAUACCACAGUAGGUAUCUCUACUUGAACAUCCAGAAGCCAAAUGUCAAGUCCAGUUACUUUAAUCUAGAAGGAAUGAUUUCUAAACUUAGGCAUUCAUAAAAUGUGUCUGAAAGUUUUUGUAUUUAUGCAAUCUUUAAAAUAUCUCUGAGUGAUUGAGACAUAAUUGUGUCAUAGGUGAGUCGGUUGUGACUUGGAGCCCACAUGCACAAGUCCUGACAUAUCUUUACUGGCUUCUGGAAUGAGGAGCAUGGUUUAAGGACACCUGAGAAAUUGUAGACUGAGUCAGCUUGGGUUGUCAGUUUGGUCUCAGUGCCCUCAGCAGGAGCUGGAGGACUGAAACAGCAGUAGAAGAGAGGAGCUGAUGAGGGUAUGGAUUAGAAAUCCUGUUUUAAGUUGGAAAAGGAUGCAGAAGAGGUGCCAGGAGAAGGAGAUGGGCUAAAAAAAAAGGGUGCUGGGAACUAGACUUCAGGAACCACAUCACACUGUCUCAUUUCUCAAGUAAAUCCUCACAACAAAACUGAAAAGCCUGAUUUAUAAUGUGGAAAUAAUUUACUUCUCCCCUAGAGUUACUGUUUGUGCAGAGAAGGCCGCAACAGGGACAAGGCCUGUUUUCAGUUGUGCAAAUAAAUAAAAAAGUUUCAAAUUGUCCUUUUAACAGCAUGUUUCUUAUAAAACAUCCAGCACAGGCAGAUUGUAUCACUAAAACAAAUAUACAGUCAGGCAUAAAGCCAGAGGAUCAGUUGCAGUCUGGUUUAUCAAGAACAGCAGUUCUUGUUUCGGAGCAGAGGGAACCGAAAUACUCUAGCACUUGGAGACAUGGUAAUUAAUGGCUCCUUAAUAAGUACCUGGUGAAAGGCUGAUGUACUGGGUGUUCCCUGUAAGUGACUGAAAGACACAUUGUUGGUGUGGCAGAAACUCAGAUCAGGCCUUGUAGCUGAAUUCUUUCAUUAGAUCCUUGGAUUCUUAGCAAAUAUGGUUACCUUUGUGCCUCUAAUGGUAGCACUCAUGUGCGUUCUUAACUGUGUCUGAUAUGGGAUAAAAUGGCAAUGCAAAAGCCUUGUCUACCCUGCCAGUCCUUCCCCAAGGGGUUUUAGAUAUAUAUAUUUUUUCACUAACACAUUGACAUGAGUAAUUCUCUGCAUGGUGUCCAUAUGCUUUUAUAGUCCAGGUUGGGAUGAACUUCUUAAAAUGAUUCCUGUAGACUGCACUAAAAAUAAACUAAUGUCCCACUCACAUUUGAAGGCUUUCAGAUCCUGGAUUCUAAUGUAACUUUGUAGUAUGGUUACACUCUAAUUAAGGAUAGCUUCUGUGGGUUAGAAACUGUGCUAUGUCUGAAUGAGAUGUAUUAGCUCUUUGCCCAGCAAGUGUUGAGUAACAGUUUUCAGUGUAUUUUUAAAAAACCCUAUCUAUAUCUGUUUGGUAUCUAUGCUGUAAAAAAAUAACAAUUUUCCAGAAGGUACUGCAUCUUUGCAUUGUGAGGAUAGACUUCAUUAACUUCUAUAACAAAUUUUAAGUUUUAUGAACGAGUCCAUCAGUGUUUGAAAAACUCUGUCUUGAAAAUACAUCAAACAUACAUUGAUAAAAGGCCUUCGUGAUUGUUAUAAGUUGUGACUUUAAUUUGCAUAGCUAAGCAUAAAUAUUUCAAAUCCUACCAAAUUGUCUGUGUUUACCCUGAUUUCUUUUACAGUUCUGUCCUGUAUACAGUUCUGUGCCUUUAAAGUUACUCAGGAGUGACACACUCAGGUUGUACAAGUCAAGAAGUCCCAUGUUUAUUCUGUUUUAAACCUCAUGUUGUUUAAACAUUUGUGCAAAGUGCAUGUACAAUUUUGGAAGAAAAGUAUCCAUGUUGAUCUAUAUGAAUUAGAAGGACAAACAUGUUCUGCUUUGAUAAACCUUAGAAUUUUCAAUUAGGUGCAAAUAAUCUAGUGUGGUUCCAACCUAAGAAGUAUAAAAUGCUUUUCCUGACAGCAGGGUGCCAUGUCAUUACAAUGCCCAUUUUCUAUAGUAAAACCCCACCCAAAAAGACAAAACUGCAGCUUGAGGUAGGAUGACAGCAUUGUACUAUUUUUAAAGCAGAUAUUUUAAACAGAUUUUUAUGGAUUAUCAGUCUCUGGUUUGGUAGGUUACAUGCAUAGGUCUCCUGGCAAUGUAACUGUUUAGUGUAAGGUAAAUAAGCAGGAAUAGCAUCCUUCCAGGGGAAGGUGGUGUGCUAAAAGUAGAUGAAGUUGGCUGAGAAGACAUGAAGUAAUUUCUCAUUACCUCUUUCCCUGAUUAGGUAACCAUGCUUUGAGCAUCACUGCUAAUGUGUAAUUAAGAACAUUAGUUUAGUGAGCUGAGGUACAAAGCAAUUUUAAUUGACAACAAUCCUUUCUUUUAAAGUUUAGCUGAGACUUACUAAUUGAAGACUGCUCUUGUGCUGAUGUUUUGGAAAUGUGUGAUCAGGGAGAGGGAGGGAAAAAGGAAAAUAACUUGUCCUUCUGCUCUAUGUGCUGCUUGCAGAGGAAUUCUUGGCAUUUAAACACACUGAACUGAAAACAAGCUCUGUGCAAGUAGAAUGUCUUUAGCAGAUUAAAGGAAGUCCUACCUGUUAGUACAGUACUAAAGCUGUAGGGUCACAGUUAUUAAACAGUGGAAGCAGAACAGCCCUUGCAAUCCAGAAGACAGUGGAGGGAUGGUAUCUGAUGUUGGAGAAUGGAGAGGCUAGACUUCAUUUGGAGGAAAAAGAGUUGGUAAACUCCUUCAAGCCACAUCUGAAGCUGCAACUGAACCAGACAGCAUAAUUUGAGCACCUCGAAUAAUUUAGUGUCAUGAGCUACAAGAUGAUGAAGAGCUGAGAGACAUCCUCUAAAUUUUCUGGCUUGCUUGAGGGAACUCCUUUUGUUGGCCAAGCAAAUAGAGACUGAGACACUUAAUUUUUGACAUAAAUUGUGAUUCUACUUCAUCCUCUGUUGUCCUUUGCCAGAGAGAUUCUACUCUGAUUUAUACUCGAAGAGCACAAAUGGACAUAAAUGACUUAAUUGUAGUGUAUUUACUCUUGAAAGACCUUUCAAAGUGUUAAGUGUUAAUUAAAUCCUCUGCAGCAUUAAAAGGUUAGGAUGUUUAGACUGCAGUGUGGGAAUUGAGCUGAAAAGUAAUUGAACACUUCUACAAGCAGCUUCCUUAUUUAAUGGUAUUGAACUAGUACUCUGAAUUUUUAAAAAAUCUUUUUCAUGGGACCUGCAGUUGUGAAUCUGUAACUUUUUUAAUCUGUUACUUAUUCAGGAGGUAUUCUUUAUCAAAUGUUUGUACUGUGUUAUC